GACGAACGCUGGCGGCGUGCUUAACACAUGCAAGUCGAACGGAAAGGCCCUGCUUUUGUGGGGUGCUCGAGUGGCGAACGGGUGAGUAACACGUGAGUAACCUGCCCUUGACUUUGGGAUAACUUCAGGAAACUGGGGCUAAUACCGGAUAGGAGCUCCUGCUGCAUGGUGGGGGUUGGAAAGUUUCGGCGGUUGGGGAUGGACUCGCGGCUUAUCAGCUUGUUGGUGGGGUAGUGGCUUACCAAGGCUUUGACGGGUAGCCGGCCUGAGAGGGUGACCGGCCACAUUGGGGCUGGGAUACGGCCCAGACUCCUACGGGGGGCAGCAGUGGGGAAUAUUGCACAAUGGGCGGAAGCCUGAUGCAGCAACGCCGCGGGCGGGAUGACGGCCUUCGGGGUGGAAACCGCUUUCGCCUGGGACGAAGCGUGAGUGACGGUAAUGGGUAAAGAAGCACCGGCUAACUACGUG
rnacentral:rRNA from 1 species